UACGGGGGGAGCAAGCGUUGUUCGGAUUUACUGGGCGUAAAGGGCGCGUAGGCGGUCGUGACAAGUCACUUGUGGAAUCUCCGGGCUUAACUCGGAACGGUCAAGUGAUACUGUCGGACUAGAGUACAGAAGGGGCAACUGGAAUUCUCGGUGUAGCGGUGAAAUGCGUAGAUAUCGAGAGGAACACCUGCGGCGAAGGCGGGUUGCUGGGCCGAUACUGACGCUGAGGAGCGAAAGCAUGGGUAGCGAACAGG
rnacentral:rRNA from 1 species